AAAGAAAUACCUAAGAUGGAUCCG
rnacentral:siRNA from 1 species